UACAGAGGUCUCAAGCGUUGUUCGGAUUCAUUGGGCGUAAAGGGUGCGUAGGCGGCGCGGUAAGUCGGGUGUGAAAUCUCGGAGCUUAACUCCGAAACUGCAUUCGAUACUGCCGUGCUUGAGGACUGGAGAGGAGACUGGAAUUUACGGUGUAGCGGUGAAAUGCGUAGAUAUCGUAAGGAAGACCAGUGGCGAAGGCGGGUCUCUGGACAAGUUCC
rnacentral:rRNA from 1 species